GCCGGGUGCAGUGGCGUGCGCCUGUAAUCCAAGUUGCUGGGAGGCUUAGGCUGGCGGAUCGUUUGAGCUCAGGAGUUCUGAGCUCCAGUGGACUAUGCCGAUCGGGUGUCCGCACUAAGUUCGGUAUCGAUAUGGUGCUCCUGGGGGAGCCCGGGACCACCAGGUCGUCUAAGGAGGGGUGCACCGGCCCAGGUCGGAAACGGAGCAGGCCAAAGCCCCCGUGCCGCUCAGUAGUGGGAUCGCGCCUGUGAAUAGACGCUGUAGUACAGCCUGAGCAAUACAGCGGGACCCAGUCUUUU
ensembl:misc_RNA Metazoa_SRP Metazoan signal recognition particle RNA